CGUUGAAGGAGGUGAUCAGAAAAAAACACAAGUGGUGUUUUCUGUGCGUGCCCUGCCUUGUGGCGGUCUUUCCAUAGCCGCUCACAGUUACUGAGCAUCCUAAGCCCAGCUGCUGAGGCCCCCCCUUCACUUAAAGCCAGUCAUUUUCCCACAUUCGCCUCCCCCAUUCAAGCGCCCCAGCCAAGUCCUUCUGCACAAGAGCUGUUAGAGGUCUGUAUGGUUCCACUGCUGCAAACGUGGGAAGUAGUUCACCGCGAGGCUGAGAGAGGAAGGUUUGCAGAAGACUUUUUUCAACUUUUUCAAAUUUAACUACUGAGUCACAUUCCUGUCAUUCCACUGAAUGUGCAUACUACUCCCUGAGGCUGGCGUGAGUUUAGAAGGCUGGGAGCACCACACUUCGUUUCUGCCCAGAUGGACAUGUCAACAGGGCCGUGGGGUCAAGGACAACAGGUGGGAAGCAGAUCUCUCUGGCCUUGGCCUUCUCGUCUGCUACCACACCCCCGCUCUGCCCAGAAGAAGCCUGACAAAGGACCCAGGGCUUCCAUUGCACUCGGGUACCGCAUCCCACAUUAGUAAGACCUCAUCCGCCUUCUGCUUCUACAAUGGCCACAAGCAUUGCAGAAAUUCACACCCUCUCUAAUGCGGCGAAUGUUAGGUCUUAGGAUACAACAGUGAACCGGACCAGGCCUGCCGUCAUGGAGAGGGAAAGAAACAGACCGAGAAGUGAACACAUACAAACAAGGUAAUUUCAGACAGUGAUAAGCAUUAUUAAUAAGAUAAAACAAGAGUUCCCAUUGUGGCACAGUGGAAACGAAUCUGACUAGGAACCAUAAGGUUGAGGGUUUGAUCUCUGGUUUCGUUCAGUGGGUUAAGGAUCUGGCAUGGCUGUGGCUGUGGCAUAGGCCGGCAGCUACAGCUCUGAUUCGACCCCUAGCCUGGGAACCUCCAUAUGCUGUGGGUACAGCCCUAAAAAGCAAAAAAAAUAAAAAAUAAGAAAAUAAGAUAAAACA
rnacentral:lncRNA from 1 species